UGUUCCCCACCCAGGUCAGGCUGUAGAGGCAGAAACAGCAGAAACCCUGCCCAUGGGCCCACCCUCGCCCUACAGGGGAUCAGGGGUGAAUGGAUCAUGGUUUGGAACCUGAUAAUUAAGACCCUGGAGCCCAACCUAUUGGCCUUCAGGCUUAAUAUCAGACUGCUGCACUUGGUGGACAGACAGGUGCAGCCUGGGGGCCCGCACCUUGGCCAGCAGGAGCAGCGUGCGGCUGGUGCGGGCGUCCGCGUGCCGCUCCCGCAGGUGAAAGAGCUUGGGUGACAUGA